rnacentral:rRNA from 1 species
ACGUACGCUGGCGGCACGCCUAACACAUGCAAGUCGAACGAAGUAGCAAUACUUAGUGGCAGACGGGUGAGUAACAUGUAGGUAUCUGCCCUUUGGCCUGGAAUAACACGAGGAAACUUGUGCUAAUACCGGAUAAGUCUUUACGGAGAAAGCUUUAUGCACCAUUGGAUGAGCCUGCACUUGAUUAGUUAGUUGGUGGGGUAAUGGCCUACCAAGUCUGUGAUCAAUAGCUGAUUUGAGAGGAUGAUCAGCCACAUUGGGACUGAGACACGGCCCAAACUCCUACGGGAGGCAGCAGUGGGGAAUCUUGCACAAUGGAGGAAACUCUGAUGCAGCGAUGCCGCGUGAGUGAAGAAGGCCCUUGGGUUGUAAAGCUCUUUCGUCGGGGAAGAAAAUGACUGUACCAGAAUAAGAAGGUCCGGCUAACUUCGUGCCAGCAGCCGCGGUAAUACGAAGGGACCUAGCGUAGUUCGGAAUUACUGGGCUUAAAGAGUUCGUAGGUGGUUGAAAAAGUUAGUGGUGAAAUCCCAGAGCUUAACUCUGGAACUGCCAUUAAAACUUUUCAGCUAGAGUAUGAUAGAGGAAAGCAGAAUUUCUAGUGUAGAGGUGAAAUUCGUAGAUAUUAGAAAGAACACCAAUUGCGAAGGCAGCUCUCUGGAUCAUUACUGACAGCUGA